GACGAACGCUGGCGGCGUGCUUAACACAUGCAAGUCGAACGGAAAGGCCCUGCUUUUGUGGGGUGCUCGAGUGGCGAACGGGUGAGUAACACGUGAGUAACCUGCCCUUGACUUUGGGAUAACUUCAGGAAACUGGGGCUAAUACCGGAUAGGAGCUCCUGCUGCAUGGUGGGGGUUGGAAAGUUUCGGCGGUUGGGGAUGGACUCGCGGCUUAUCAGCUUGUUGGUGGGGUAGUGGCUUACCAAGGCUUUGACGGGUAGCCGGCCUGAGAGGGUGACCGGCCACAUUGGGACUGAGAUACGGCCCAGACUCCUACGGGAGGCAGCAGUGGGGAAUAUUGCACAAUGGGCGGAAGCCUGAUGCAGCAACGCCGCAUGCGGGAUGACGGCCUUCGGGUUGUAAACCGCUUUCGCCUGUGACGAAGCGUGAGUGACGGUAAUGGGUAAAGAAGCACCGGCUAACUACGUGCCAGCAGCCGCGGUGAUACGUAGGGUGCGAGCGUUGUCCGGAUUUAUUGGGCGUAAAGGGCUCGUAGGUGGUUGAUCGCGUCGGAAGUGUAAUCUUGGGGCUUAACCCUGAGCGUGCUUUCGAUACGGGUUGACUUGAGGAAGGUAGGGGAGAAUGGAAUUCCUGGUGGAGCGGUGGAAUGCGCAGAUAUCAGGAGGAACACCAGUGGCGAAGGCGGUUCUCUGGGCCUUUCCUGACGCUGAGGAGCGAAAGCGUGGGGAGCGAACAGGCUUAGAUACCCUGGUAGUCCACGCUGUAAACGGUGGGUACUAGGUGUGGGGUCCAUUCCACGGGUUCCGUGCCGUAGCUAACGCUUUAAGUACCCCGCCUGGGGAGUACGGCCGCAAGGCUAAAACUCAAAGGAAUUGACGGGGCCCCGCACAAGCGGCGGAGCAUGCGGAUUAAUUCGAUGCAACGCGUAGAACCUUACCUGGGUUUGACAUGGAUCGGGAGUGCUCAGAGAUGGGUGUGCCUCUUUUGGGGUCGGUUCACAGGUGGUGCAUGGCUGUCGUCAGCUCGUGUCGUGAGAUGUUGGGUUAAGUCCCGCAACGAGCGCAACCCUUGUUCACUGUUGCCAGCACGUUAUGGUGGGGACUCAGUGGAGACCGCCGGGGUCAACUCGGAGGAAGGUGGGGAUGACGUCAAGUCAUCAUGCCCCUUAUGUCCAGGGCUUCACGCAUGCUACAAUGGCUGGUACAGAGAGUGGCGAGCCUGUGAGGGUGAGCGAAUCUCGGAAAGCCGGUCUCAGUUCGGAUUGGGGUCUGCAACUCGACCUCAUGAAGUCGGAGUCGCUAGUAAUCGCAGAUCAGCAACGCUGCGGUGAAUACGUUCCCGGG
rnacentral:rRNA from 1 species